rnacentral:rRNA from 1 species
GGGUUGUGAGGUUAAGCGACUAAGCGUACACGGUGGAUGCCCUGGCAGUCAGAGGCGAUGAAGGGCGUGCUAAUCUGCGAUAAGCGCCGGUAAGGUGAUAUGAACCGUUAUAACCGGCGAUACCCGAAUGGGGAAACCCAGUGUGACUCGUCACACUAUCAUUAACUGAAUCCAUAGGUUAAUGAGGCGAACCGGGGGAACUGAAACAUCUAAGUACCCCGAGGAAAAGAAAUCAACCGAGAUUCCCCCAGUAGCGGCGAGCGAACGGGGAGGAGCCCAGAGCCUGAAUCAGCAUGUGUGUUAGUGGAAGCGUCUGGAAAGGCGCGCGAUACAGGGUGACAGCCCCGUACACAAAAGCGCAUGUGCUGUGAGCUCAAUGAGUAGGGCGGGACACGUGGUAUCCUGUCUGAAUAUGGGGGGACCAUCCUCCAAGGCUAAAUACUCCUGACUGACCGAUAGUGAACCAGUACCGUGAGGGAAAGGCGAAAAGAACCCCGGCGAGGGGAGUGAAAAAGAACCUGAAACCGUGUACGUACAAGCAGUGGGAGCCCCACCACUAAGCCAGUGGUGAACUCCACAUACGCAUCCUUUGCUGAGGAUACGGUUAAGGGAGCGAAAGCGACGUUCAACCGCAAAAGAAGCAGAGGGGGCUUAGUGGUGGGGUGACUGCGUACCUUUUGUAUAAUGGGUCAGCGACUUAUAUUCUGUAGCAAGGUUAACCGUAUAGGGGAGCCGUAGGGAAACCGAGUCUUAACCGGGCGUUAAGUUGCAGGGUAUAGACCCGAAACCCGGUGAUCUAGCCAUGGGCAGGUUGAAGGUUGGGUAACACUAACUGGAGGACCGAACCGACUAAUGUUGAAAAAUUAGCGGAUGACCUGUGGCUGGGGGUGAAAGGCCAAUCAAACCGGGAGAUAGCUGGUUCUCCCCGAAAGCUAUUUAGGUAGCGCCUCGUGAACUCAUCUCCGGGGGUAGAGCACUGUUUCGGCUAGGGGGUCAUCCCGACUUACCAACCCGAUGCAAACUGCGAAUACCGGAGAAUGUUAUCACGGGAGACACACGGCGGGUGCUAACGUCCGUCGUGAAGAGGGAAACAACCCAGACCGCCAGCUAAGGUCCCAAAGUCAUGGUUAAGUGGGAAACGAUGUGGGAAGGCCCAGACAGCCAGGAUGUUGGCUUAGAAGCAGCCAUCAUUUAAAGAAAGCGUAAUAGCUCACUGGUCGAGUCGGCCUGCGCGGAAGAUGUAACGGGGCUAAACCAUGCACCGAAGCUGCGGCAGCGACACUGUG